rnacentral:siRNA from 1 species
UGUUGGGCUUGUGAGAUAGA